GGUUUAAGCGUGUAGGUGUGUGUUCCAGGUAAAUCCGGUUCACUUUAACACUGAGGCGUGACGACGAGGCACUACGGUGCUGAAGCAACAAAUGCCCUGCUUCCAGGAAAAGCCUCUAAGCAUCAGGUAACAUCAAAUCGUACCCCAAACCGACACAGGUGGUCAGGUAGAGAAUACCAAGGCGCUUGAGAGAACUCGGGUGAAGGAACUAGGCAAAAUGGUGCCGUAACUUCGGGAGAAGGCACGCUGACACGUAGGUGAAGUGAUUUACUCAUGGAGCUGAAGUCAGUCGAAGAUACCAGCUGGCUGCAACUGUUUAUUAAAAACACAGCACUGUGCAAACACGAAAGUGGACGUAUACGGUGUGACGCCUGCCCGGUGCCGGAAGGUUAAUUGAUGGGGUCAGCGCAAGCGAAGCUCCUGAUCGAAGCCCCGGUAAACGGCGGCCGUAACUAUAACGGUCCUAAGGUAGCGAAAUUCCUUGUCGGGUAAGUUCCGACCUGCACGAAUGGCGUAAUGAUGGCCAGGCUGUCUCCACCCGAGACUCAGUGAAAUUGAACUCGCUGUGAAGAUGCAGUGUACCCGCGGCAAGACGGAAAGACCCCGUGAACCUUUACUAUAGCUUGACACUGAACAUUGAGCCUUGAUGUGUAGGAUAGGUGGGAGGCUUUGAAGUGUGGACGCCAGUCUGCAUGGAGCCGACCUUGAAAUACCACCCUUUAAUGUUUGAUGUUCUAACGUGGACCCGUUACCCGGGUUGCGGACAGUGUCUGGUGGGUAGUUUGACUGGGGCGGUCUCCUCCUAAAGAGUAACGGAGGAGCACGAAGGUUGGCUAAUCCUGGUCGGACAUCAGGAGGUUAGUGCAAUGGCAUAAGCCAGCUUGACUGCGAGCGUGACGGCGCGAGCAGGUGCGAAAGCAGGUCAUAGUGAUCCGGUGGUUCUGAAUGGAAGGGCCAUCGCUCAACGGAUAAAAGGUACUCCGGGGAUAACAGGCUGAUACCGCCCAAGAGUUCAUAUCGACGGCGGUGUUUGGCACCUCGAUGUCGGCUCAUCACAUCCUGGGGCUGAAGUAGGUCCCAAGGGUAUGGCUGUUCGCCAUUUAAAGUGGUACGCGAGCUGGGUUUAGAACGUCGUGAGACAGUUCGGUCCCUAUCUGCCGUGGGCGCUGGAGAACUGAGGGGGGCUGCUCCUAGUACGAGAGGACCGGAGUGGACGCAUCACUGGUGUUCGGGUUGUCAUGCCAAUGGCACUGCCCGGUAGCUAAAUGCGGAAGAGAUAAGUGCUGAAAGCAUCUAAGCACGAAACUUGCCCCGAG
rnacentral:rRNA from 1 species